AGUGAACGCUGGCGGUAGGCCUAACACAUGCAAGUCGAACGGCAGCACAGUAAGAGCUUGCUCUUACGGGUGGCGAGUGGCGGACGGGUGAGGAAUACAGCGGAAUCUACUUUUUCGUGGGGGAUAACGUAGGGAAACUUACGCUAAUACCGCAUACUACCUACGGGUGAAAGCAUGGGAUCUUCGGACCUUGCGCGAUUGAAUGAGCCGAUGUCGGAUUAGCUAGUUGGCGGGGUAAAGGCCCACCAAGGCGACGAUCCGUAGCUGGUCUGAGAGGAUGAUCAGCCACACUGGAACUGAGACACGGUCCAGACUCCUACGGGAGGCAGCAGUGGGGAAUAUUGGACAAUGGGCGCAAGCCUGAUCCAGCCAUACCGCGUGGGUGAAGAAGGCCUUCGGGUUGUAAAGCCCUUUUGUUGGGAAAGAAAAGCAGCAGGUUAAUACCCCGCUGUUCUGACGGUACCCAAAGAAUAAGCACCGGCUAACUUCGUG
rnacentral:rRNA from 1 species